rnacentral:rRNA from 1 species
UUCCAAAAGAGGAAGUGUGUGUGAAGUGAGCCAUCUUUGACACGGUGCUGGUACAAAAGGAAGUUCCGUAGGAGUAGGUAUGGGCCUCGUUGUUGCGUUACCGACGUAGUUCGAAGGAGAAAGACCGGUAGGAUCGACGGAGCUAGUGGCGGUGGAAGAGGCCACAGCUACCUUCUAGGUUGCCCUCGACGUAGGGCUGGCUCUCCCGACGCGACGAGAGGAAGUUCCGGCUGUAGUGUCAGCUGGGCCGCUUAGCGGAGCGUAGUACCGUCGUUGCUGUGGUACUGACAACAGACACCUCGCCGUAGUGGACGUCGGCGGCCUGUCCGGUGCGGUAGUUCGAGCUGGAGGCGUUGUUAAUAGGUCGAAGUCUUCUCCUAAUAAUGGAACCAGGACCACUGUGGCUUUUGGUGAGCGACACGCCUGUCCAUAGAAGAAGCGACGAACGAGAGGCUGUAGAGUACGUAGAGCUGGAGUCGACCUUAUAAAAAGAGCCUCUACGUUUCCGGUACGGCCCCAAGGACCCGAGAGAGGCCUCAAACUCCAUCGAGUUGGAGAGGUUGUACGUACCCAAAAGUACCGUCUCACGGAGGAGUCGAUCCGUUGGAGAGGUUUGAUCAUGUUGAACUGUACGUGCGGUUAAUACUGUGACUAGAUGUGUGUUUACUAUAUAGAACCGAUCGUAGAGAACCGAACGAUCUCGUAGAUUUGUACCCGCCCUAGUUGGAGUCACCUCAGUAACUGACCCAGGUAUUCCAGUUGCGGGAAGGGUUAAACCAACACGACCGAUACAAAAGUACACCAGAAUAAUUCUCAUUACAAAGUACCAGUGAACAUGUGGUCUUGGAAUGUCAAGAACUCCUCGAACUGGAGAGAAUACUGGGAAAGGUACCCGGCAGGCGUAGGUUGACCAAAACCCUACAUUGAUCGGAGUUUUCCGAUGUGAAUGUCCCAACACUUAAUAGUCCGUGCAAAGGACUGCUCAACCCGUUGAACUGGAACAACCUCUGAAAACUGCAAGAUCCUUUGUUGUAGGUUCCUUACUAUGGAUGUUGGGACUUUUUAUACACAUUGAAUGCCAGAGAACUAGAGUCGAAGUUGUUGUAGCCGCCCCCGUAUUGUCUCCACUAUCUAUCCUAUGGAUUAACAAGAGCCUUUUUAAACGUUCUUAACCCAGAUUACCUACGGUUGUAGUGACCGUGUUGUAAUGUUAAACACUGUUUGGACUGAUCGAAUAUGCACGAAUUACAGGUACCGUUGGUCAACUCACCAAGUCACGGGCACCUCUAACCGUGCGAACGUUUAAACUGGAUGAAUUUGGAACCUCUGUUGUGGAACUCGCCAAGUCACGGACGUCUCUAACCGUGCGAAUGUUCAAACUGAGUGAAUAUGGAACCUGCGUUGUUGAACCACACUAUAGUCUUCUGGUAAAACGACCAAACUACUUAAAUCUCAGAGAACUGAAUAGGAUAUUAUUAAACCUACAAUAACACCUGAGUGUAACCUAUGGAGGCAAGUUGAACCUUAGCCGUACCAAAAGUAGAACAGUAAAUCCAGGGGUUAAAGGAUUUACCGAAGCAACCGUCUUUUCGUGGUUCUAGGAAGUAUAAAGUUUGUGUACGGAUCAACCAUUCUAGGGUAUAACCAAAACCUGAUGGAAAAGACUACGAUGUAUAAACCUGUAGAGGAACUUGGUAGAAUCGCCGUUAAACGGUGAGUUAGAACUCAAGUCCAGUCACUAAUUUGAAAAUUACGUCGGUUUAGACGAUUGACCAAACUAUGGGUUCAAUAGUUCUUGUUAACUCUAUAACCUGUAUAGAUCUUUAAGAAAUUUACCGAAACACGGUUUAAAGGUUCGAGGUGUUGAUGCCCGCCGUCAAGGAAAAAGGUUAAGAUAUUGACCCUGAUAAGGCUUUUGUUAAACAGCUUACGUUUUUAACGCCCAAAACCUAGAAAGCUUGUUAGACGAAAGUUUCCUUGAAGGACUAACACCAUAUUUUCUCGAUUUUGUUCCCUUGGGCAGAUCGUUGUUGAGAAGUUUUCAGUCUAGAGACUCUAUAAAGUCAAACUCCUAGUGAUCAAAGGAAGAUUCGUUGUUGGUAAAAAGUUCACCUAAAGGAAACAAGGAUGCUGUUACAGGUUCCGACCAAAAGGAGCUAGAUUGAGUUUUGUUUAAGUGACCUCUCAAUGGGCCUACCUAAUCACUUCGGUACGGAUCAAACCAAUACGAUGCCAAUUCUAGUUUGUUUAAAAGUCCAGUGUAAGGUCAACUUUAUUACCCUGAAGUUCUACAAGCAUAGGACCUAGACAGGUUAUUAUUGAAAAGACCCCGGUAUGGUUUUACAAAUCUUUUUAACUUUCGAAACUGAGUGUGUCGAUGAAGAUUAUUAUGUAGUAAACUAUUAGAAAAACUACUUCCUAUAGCAUCGAGAUGUAGGUACAGGAAAUCAAACAGAUUACUAUCGAAGAACCACCACUAUUUUCCCGUCGACGAACUCAUGUCCCUCUUAUGAGAUAUGAACUACUCGUAACUAAAUAGAACGUUAUCAAAUUAGCCUCUUUAGGGCCUCCUGGAAUGGAGGGAGCAACCUGAGUAUUUAAACUUAAAUAGUAGUUUGAACAACUCACCUUUAUAAGGUAUAUUCUAACCGUUGGAAGCGAGUGACCUCAGAGAACUAGAGAGUUUCUUGUUUGAACGACCACUUUAAGGCCUUCCGAAUAGUCUAAACUGUAUGAACUCGACAGAGUUAAACAGUAUGUUAUUAGACAGUCCUUCUUAUGGAAGUCCCGUAGUUGAGCUGUAGGAGCUCUGUUUACUAGGUCGAAGGUACAUGUAACCAUUAGGACCAGAAACACCUGAAGGUCAAAGUUCCGUUACGGGUGCAGGAGGAUCUCUGGGUGGGUCGUUACCUCUAAGUCGUUCUACCAAACUUAUACCGAGCAGAGUUUACCUAAAAGAAUAUCCUAAUUAACAACCAAAACACCACCCACGAACCUACCAUAAAACGCCCGAAGAUAAGUACUUCUCUACCUCCAUAUGAAUAAAACCCCAUAAGCUGUUCGAUAUACUGUCUAACAUACAGUAAAGACAACAAUGAGCGGUUUUUUCCAAGCCCUUGUGCCCGAUUUUAAUUCCUUCUUGACGGCUUGCAUGGUGGUAAGCAUAUUCCCCUUACUUCAUGAAGAACGAUCAUAUAAAAUAACAGUUUGGGAAACAGUAAGUCUUGAAUAACAACAUAACAUAACAUAGAAACGUGUAGCCAACACGUACGGUGUACCAAAGGCGAGAGUAUAUUAUUUUACAUAGGACGAUAAUGAUGGGUAAUUCACACGUGAUAAUAAACCUUAAUGAACCGAAAGAACACGACGAACAACGAUUUACAACAAAACUUAGUACUCUACAUACCUGACCAAAACGAUUUCAUACAAGGAAUCAAGAAAGAUACUUUGCCUAAAAGUAUAUACGUGUUGAAGACUAGCGAGCAGCAGAGGAGGUCUUAUCAUGUUUGGCUAUCUUAGCCACAUAGUGUUUAUUAUCUGUGACUGACUUGACUGGGCAGGCAACUAAAAUCCUAAUAUAUACACUUUUCAUUAUAUCUUUGGGCGACGGGCUAGUACUAAUCUACUUCAAAUACCACUUCCUCCGUAUUCGCACCCUGAGAUAGAGCGGAGACCAUCAGUACGGGUGUAGCAGAACCUAGAGGUGAUCGAAGCACAAUCUCGUUAAGAUCCACGUGUAGCUAGACAAUACGUGUUCGUUAGUUUUUCCGUGUUAUAUGUUAUAGUUCUAAACAAUUGUUCCAAGUGGUUGUAUCGACGUAGGUAUUCCGUAUUGAUACCUACGAGGUGGGUACAUGAUUUGACUGUAUCAUGUUACUAUUGUUCGUAUACCUCCGAUAGUCUGUUGUGAGGUUGGUGGCGUGAUACUGUCCAGGCCGGUAGGGACGAUAGCAGCAGCCCGGUAAGGGGAGCACUAAAGACAGAUAAGAUGGUAGAAUACAGAUCAGUUAAAUCGAUGGGCGCCACGGGAAUGUAUUAUAUAAAAAAGCUGUUUUCGGAAUGUAUUAUACAUCCGGACCCAAUGUGUAUAAGUUGAGUUUGUGUAUUAGCAGGCGAUUAUGUUCAGGUUACAUCAGAUUAUGCAUGUGUAUUAUAAGAUGUAUAAAUAAAAUUGUGAGGU